GGCCUAGUGAUACAUGGCUGAGAAACAGAAGGGCAGCUGAAGAGAUGGAUGGCCACUGUCCAUGUACCAGCUCAGGAAGAGUAGACAAAGGGGAACCAUUCUGAUCCCCAAUUCUGGGCAAAAAGGAGUCUCAGGUUCAGUUAGUUUCUGACUGGCUGUCCUAAUCCCUCUGCCCAGUGUAAAGGUAGUGGUGGCCAAGUGACUGAGCUCAUAUAUGGGAAGGAAGACUUGUAGGUCUUACGUGGCUUAUUUGCCAUUCUAGAAUGAAGCAGUCAUUUAGGACCCAAAGUGGCUCAGGAGGGGGACUUGGGUGGCCCAAUUCCCCAACUCUGUCACCCAGAUACCUUCCUGUCAUAAGCCCAGUCCUGGUGUCUCCCUCAUCUCAUAAGUCUUUUUCCACAGGGGGAGUGGCCAGGACCCCUUUGCCUAACAGAGGACAAGGACUUCAAGAUACAGAAGUGAGAAGAAAUGACACCUGGCCAUAUAAACACAGAUGACAGCUGUUGUGCCACAUAACAGGAGCACAACAUUGCCCUAAAUGAUGUGGUUCAACGUGACUCCAGGGUCAGCCACUGUUGACACUCCUGAAUAAGGGGUUAUAUGCCAGCCACCACCACAAUGGAAAGUCAGGUGCCUCCUGCUUCCAGAAUGCUAUCUCACCCAGGUAUCUGCCUUCCCCUCCCAGGGACCGAGGAAAACUCCCUGAUAUCAAUGUAGAAGCUCAAGGCACCGUCAGCCAAGUACAGCCCAGACGUUUCCCAACAGCUUUCACCAGCGUAAAGCGGCUAGCCACCUUGGAUUCCGCCGCCCCUUCCAGGAACGCAUUCGUUUGAUUUGAAAAAUCAUUGUAGAAUAUUAAAUUUACCAAUUACAUAAAAAUAUGCCUUCAGGCGGACGUGGUGGCGCGCGCCUUUAAUCCCAGCACUCGGGAGGCAGAGGCAGUCGGAUCUCUAUGAGU